rnacentral:rRNA from 1 species
GACGAACGCUGGCGGCGUGCCUAAUACAUGCAAGUUGAGCGCUGAAGGUUGGUACUUGUACCAACUGGAUGAGCAGCGAACGGGUGAGUAACGCGUGAGGAAUCUGCCUUUGAGCGGGGGACAACAUUUGGAAACGAAUGCUAAUACCGCAUAAAAACUUUAAACACAAGUUUUAAGUUUGAAAGAUGCAAUUGCAUCACUCAAAGAUGAUCCCGCGUUGUAUUAGCUAGUUGGUGAGGUAAAGGCUCACCAAGGCGAUGAUACAUAGCCGACCUGAGAGGGUGAUCGGCCACAUUGGGACUGAGACACGGCCCAAACUCCUACGGGAGGCAGCAGUAGGGAAUCUUCGGCAAUGGACGAAAGUCUGACCGAGCAACGCCGCGUGAGUGAAGAAGUUUUUCGGAUCGUAAAACUCUGUUGGUAGAGAAGAACGUUGGUGAGAGUGGAAAGCUCAUCAAGUGACGGUAACUACCCAGAAAGGGACGGCUAACUACGUG